CCUACGGGCGGCAGCAGUCGAGAAUCAUUCACAAUGGGGGAAACCCUGAUGGUGCGACGCCGCGUGGGGGAAUGAAGGUCUUCGGAUUGUAAACCCCUGUCAUGUGGGAGCAAAUUAAAAAGAUAGUACCACAAGAGGAAGAGACGGCUAACUCUGUGCCAGCAGCCGCGGUAAUACAGAGGUCUCAAGCGUUGUUCGGAAUCACUGGGCGUAAAGCGUGCGUAGGCUGUUUCGUAAGUCGUGUGUGAAAGGCGCGGGCUCAACCCGCGGACGGCACAUGAUACUGCGAGACUAGAGUAAUGGAGGGGGAACCGGAAUUCUCGGUGUAGCAGUGAAAUGCGUAGAUAUCGAGAGGAACACUCGUGGCGAAGGCGGGUUCCUGGACAUUAACUGACGCUGAGGCACGAAGGCCAGGGGAGCGAAAAGGAUUAGAUACCCCAGUAGUC
rnacentral:rRNA from 1 species